CGGAGAAGCUUCAUCUGCUUUUAUGUUGCAUAGGAAAAUCCCGGCUUUCUUCUUUGACAAAGCAGAAGAGUUCUUCUGCGGCGGUGCAUAGCGAAAACGCUGAAUAGCACAAGCUGACCAGACCUUUACCAGAGGCUACAGAAUUCGGGUUUUUGCACAAGCUGACCAGACCUUUACCAGAGGCUACAGAAUUCGGGUUUUUGCACAAGCUGACCAAGACCUUUAGAAGAGGCUCCCGAAUUCGUUUUUUUGCACAAGCUGACUGGACCUUCACAAGAAGCUGCCUGCCGAGUUCGGGUUUUUGAGGCGAUGGUGCGUCUGACUAGUGUACCAUGAGGGAGGCAGUGACAUAUCCAGCAGGCUGGUUCCAGGUUACCCUACCUGUUAUUUUUUGACUAAAUCCCGGGGGCUAAAGAUGUGAUUGUAGAGAAUAAGUUUGCGAUGCGGCGUUAUGCAUUCCUCAAAUUAGCCUCUGUUCCUUGUCCAAAAGAAUUGUAUAGAAACAAGCUGUGAACUGUAAUGUCAAACUCUGGCACCAACACAUGCACACAGGGAAGAAAUACAUCACAUAUACUAUUUUGGGUGAGCUUCAGUUCAAAGCAUGGUACAAACCAGACAAAGCUGUUAUCCUUUUUCAAACAUUAUUUAGAGAUGCGUAUGUUGAUAAUCAAUAAGUUUCUAUUACAAAACAACCAAGGCUCUAUCUUAGGAGGAAGUACAGCAACAUG
rnacentral:lncRNA from 1 species